rnacentral:lncRNA from 1 species
UGGCCCUUCUCCCGCGCCCCGCGCUCACCCUCCUGCUCCUCCUCAUGGCCGCUGUUAUCAGGUGCCUGGAGCAGGCCUAGACCACCGACUGGAGGGCCACCCUGAAGACCAUCCGGAACGGCGUUCAUAAGAUAGACACGUACCUGAACGCCGCCUUGGACCUCCUGGGAGGCGAGGACGGUCUCUGCCAGUAUAAAUGCAGUGACGGAUCUAAGCCUUUCCCACGUUAUGGUUAUAAACCCUCCCCACCGAAUGGAUGUGGCUCUCCACUGUUUGGCGUUCAUCUUAACAUUGGUAUCCCUUCCCUGACAAAGUGUUGCAACUAACACGACAGGUGCUAUGAGAACUGUGGCAAAAGCAAGAAUGACUGUGAUGAGAAAUUCCAGUAUUGCCUCUCCAAGAUCUGCCGAGAAGUACAGAAAACACUAGGACUAACUUAGCAUGUUCAGGCAUGUGAAACAACAAUGGAGCUCUUGUUUGACAGUGUUAUACAUUUAGGUUGUAAACCAUAUCUGGACAGCCAACGAGCCACAUGCAGGUGUCAUUAUGAAGAAAAAACCGAUAUUUA